rnacentral:rRNA from 1 species
CCUGGCUCAGGAUGAACGCUGGCGGCGUGCUUAACACAUGCAAGUCGAACGGACGAUGAAGAGCUUGCUUUUCAAAGUUAGUGGCGGACGGGUGAGUAACGCGUGGGUAACCUGCCUCAUACAGGGGGAUAGCAGCUGGAAACGGCUGAUAAAACCGCAUAAGCGCACAGGAUUGCAUGAUCCAGUGUGAAAAACUCCGGUGGUAUGAGAUGGACCCGCGUCUGAUUAG